AGUGAAUAGAUACCCAGGUAGUCCCAGCUGUAAACGAUGCGCGUUAGGUGUAUCGGUGACCACGAGUCACCGAGGUGCCGAAGAGAAAUCGUGAAACGUGCCGCCUGGGAAGUACGGUCGCAAGGCUGAAACUUAAAGGAAUUGGCGGGGGAGCACCACAACAGGUGGAGCCUGCGGUUUAAUCGGACUCAACGCCGGGAAACUCACCAGAUAAGACAGCUGAAUGAUAGUCGGGCUGAAGACUCUACUUGACUAGCUGAGAGGAGGUGCAUGGCCGUCGUCAGUUCGUACUGUGAAGCAUCCUGUUAAGUCAGGCAACGAGCGAGACCCACGCCAACAGUUGCCAGCUCGUCCUCCGGGAUGGAGGGGACACUGUUGGGACCGCCUCUGCUAAAGAGGAGGAAGGAAUGGGCAACGGUAGGUCAGCAUGCCCCGAAUUAUCUGGGCUACACGCGGGCUACAAUGGGUGGGACAAUGGGUAUCGACACCGAAAGGUGAAGGCAAUCUCCUAAACCCGAUCCUUAGUUCGGAUUGU
rnacentral:rRNA from 1 species